UACGUAGGGUGCGAGCGUUAAUCGGAAUUACUGGGCGUAAAGCGAGCGUAGUCGGUUAUUUAAGUCGGAUGUGAAAUCCCCGGGCUCAACCUGGGAAUUGCAUUGGAUACUGGCAGGCUAGAGUGCGGCAGAGGAUGGCGGAAUUCCCGGUGUAGCAGUGAAAUGCGUAGAGAUCGGGAGGAACAUCUGUGGCGAAGGCGGCCAUCUGGACCAGCACUGACACUGAGGCACGAAAGCGUGGGGAGCAAACAGG
rnacentral:rRNA from 1 species